rnacentral:SRP_RNA from 1 species
UUGCGGGUAGGGCCGGGGGUUCGCCCUCCCCAUAACCCGAGAUGGGCGCAAGGCGGGGGCCAGUAAUCCCGCAGAAGGAGGCUGAGGUCAAGGAAGAUUCCUCGGAUAGCGCUGAGCCUCGCCCCGUGGAGUCGAGGGCAGGGGCUAGCUGGCCGGAGGGCUAGCUGGACUCCUCUAACCGGAGGAAAAUGGCCAGGCCCGGAAGGGAGCAACCUAUCUCCGGACCUCGGCGUUCACGGGUCACCGGGGGGAGCGAUUCCGAGGGGGGAUCUCCUUGACGUAGGUCUCCUCUGCGGGAGGCCGCAU